rnacentral:rRNA from 1 species
GGCUGAAAUUCGCCUUCCAUGAAGCCGGAAUUGCUAGUAAUGGCAGGUCAGCAUACUGCCGUGAAUACGUUCCCGGGCCCUUGUACACACCGCCCGUCACACCAUGAGAGUUGGGAAUACCCGAAGCCUGUGAGCUAACGUUAAGAGGCAGCAGUCGAAGGUAGAAUCAAUGAUUGGGGUGAAGUCGUAACAAGGUACC